GGGUAACCUACCCUGUACACACGGAUAACAUACUGAAAGGUAUGCUAAUACGGGAUAAUAUAUUUGAGAGGCAUCUCUUAAAUAUCAAAGGGGAGCCAGUACAGGAUGGACCCGCGUCUGAUUAGCUAGUUGGUAAGGUAACGGCUUACCAAGGCGACGAUCAGUAGCCGACCUGAGAGGGUGAUCGGCCACAUUGGAACUGAGACACGGUCCAAAC
rnacentral:rRNA from 1 species